UGAGUACGAGACGCUAAGGCGUCGAAGUAGUGGAUGUCAUACUUCCAAGAAAAGCUUGCACUGUCAUAGAUAAAAAACGCCUGUACCAUAACCGACACAGGUGGGUAGGUAGAGUAUACUAAGGGGCGCGAGAUAACUCUCUCUAAGGAACUCGGCAAAAUAACUCCGUAACUUCGGGAGAAGGAGUGCCUUAUUCGUAAGGCUGCAAUAACAAGAUCCAAGCAACUGUUUAUCAAAAACACAGGUCUCCGCUAAGUCGUAAGACGAUGUAUGGGGGCUGACGCCUGCCCAGUGCCAGAAGGUUAAAGAAGUCGGUUAGCAUUAGCGAAGCUGGUAACUGAAGCCCUGGUGAACGGCGGCCGUAACAAUAACGGUCCUAAGGUAGCGAAAUUCCUUGUCGGGUAAGUUCCGACCCGCACGAAAGGCGUAAUGAUUUGGAUACUGUCUCGGAGAGGGGCUCGGUGAAAUAGACUUGUCUGUGAAGAUGCGGACUACCUGCACCAGGACAGAAAGACCCUAUGAAGCUUUACUGUAACUUGAAAUUGAAAUUGGACUUUAUUCGCGCAGUAUAGGUGGGAGGUGUUGAUUAUAAUCUUGCGGGAUUAUUGGAGCCAUCAGUGAGAUACCACUCUUGUAAUGUUAGAUUUCUAACUUUGAAUCAUUAUCUGGUCAAAGAACAGUUUCAGGCGGGCAGUUUGACUGGGGCGGUCGCCUCCUAAAUGGUAACGGAGGCGUACAAAGGUGUCCUCUGAACGGGUAGAAAUCGUAUCUAGAGUGUAAAGGCAUAAGGAAGCUUGACUGUGAGACCUACAAGUCGAGCAGGGACGAAAGUCGGUCUUAGUGAUCUGACGGUACUGAGUGGAAAGGCGUCACUCAACGGAUAAAAGUUACUCUAAGGAUAACAGGCUGAUCUCCCCCAAGAGUUCACAUCGACGGGGAGGUUUGGCACCUCGAUGUCGGCUCAUCGCAUCCUGGGGCGGUAGUACGUCCCAAGGGUUGGGCUGUUCGCCCAUGAAAGCGGUACGCGAGCUGGGUUCAGAACGUCGUGAGACAGUUCGGUCCAUAUCCGGUGUAGGCGUUAGAAUAUUGAGAGGAGCCUUCUUUAGUACGAGAGGACCGAGAAGGACAUACCUCUGGUGUACCAGUUAUCGUGCCAACGGUAAACGCUGGGUAGCUAUGUAUGGAGUGGAUAACCGCUGAAAGCAUCUAAGUGGGAAGCCCACCUCAAGAUAAGUA
rnacentral:rRNA from 1 species